GCUUCGCUGACGAGUGGCGGACGGGUGAGUAAUGUCUGGGAAACUGCCUGAUGGAGGGGGAUAACUACUGGAAACGGUAGCUAAUACCGCAUAACGUCGCAAGACCAAAGAGGGGGACCUUCGGGCCUCUUGCCAUCGGAUGUGCCCAGAUGGGAUUAGCUAGUAGGUGGGGUAACGGCUCACCUAGGCGACGAUCCCUAGCUGGUCUGAGAGGAUGACCAGCCACACUGGAACUGGGACACGGUCCAGACUCCUACGGGAGGCAGCAGUGGGGAAUAUUGCACAAUGGGCGCAAGCCUGAUGCAGCCAUGCCGCGUGUAUGAAGAAGGCCUUCGGGUUGUAAAUCCUUUUCAGCGGGGAGGAAGGGAGUAAAGUUAAUACCUUUGCUCAUUGACGUUACCCGCAGAAGAAGCACCGGCUAACUCCGUGCCAGCAGCCGCGGUAAUACGGAGGGUGCAAGCGUUAAUCGAAAUUACUGGGCGUAAAGCGCACGCAGGCGGUUUGUUAAGUCAGAUGUGAAAUCCCCGGGCUCAACCUGGGAACUGCAUCUGAUACUGGCAAGCUUGAGUCUCGUAUAGGGGGGUAGAAUUCCAGGUGUAUCGGUGAAAUGCGUAGAGAUCUGGAGGAAUACCGGUGGCGAAGGCGGCCCCCUGCACGAAGACUGACGCUCAUGUGCGAAAGCGUGGGAGCAAACAGGAUUAGAUACCCUGGUAGUCCACGCCGUAAACGAUGUCGACUUGCACGUUGUGCCCUUGAGGCGUGUCCUCCGGAGCUAACGCGUUAAGUCGACCGCCUGGGGA
rnacentral:rRNA from 1 species